rnacentral:rRNA from 1 species
GAUGAACGCUGGCGGCGUGCCUAACACAUGCAAGUCGAACGACGCCUUUAAGACUGAUUACUUCGGUUUGAAGUCUUUUAUGACUGAGUGGCGUACGGGCGAGUAACGCGUGGGUAACCUGCCCCAUACAGGGGGAUAGCAGACGGAAACGGCUGGUAAUACCGCAUAAGGGCACAGUCCCACCUGGUACAGUGUGGAAAACUCCGGUGGUAUUAGAUGGAUCCUCGUCUGAUUAGCUUGUAGGCGGGGUAACGGGCCACCAAGGCGACAAUCAGCAGCCGGCCUGAGAGGCAGACCCGCCACACUGAGGCUGGGCCGCGGCCCGGACUCCUACGGGAGGCAGCAGUGGGGAAUAUUGCACAAUGGAGUGAACGCUGAUGCAGCUAGGCCGCGUGAGUGAAGAAGUAGUUAGAGAUGUAAAGCGCUAUCAGCCGGGAGGAUAAUGACGGUACCGGAAUAAUAAGCACCGGCUAACUACGUG